UCAUAUUAAUGAAAAAAACAAAUUUUGUUAGUGAUUGAUCCUUGUGUUAGAGAUUUAAGGAUCACUAAAGAUCGAGGUUGUGUCGACACCUGAUUGGCUAGAGAGAAAUAUAUAUAUAUAUAUAUAUAUAUAUAUAUUUUAUUUUUCUUUCCCUCAUUCUCUCUUACGAUUGGUCCAACGCCUUUGUCCGUCGUCAUCACCAUCUCCACCGCCUGUGCAACCAGCGACGAUUCAAGUGGCGAAAUAAGUGUCUUUGGUUCAAUGGAUGAUGAAUUGGCUUUGUGUUUUUGGAUCCGAUCACUAGCAGUUUAACAAUGGAUGAUGAAUUGGCUUUGUGUUUUUGGAUCCGAUCACUAAGACUGAAGACUGCAGUUUCUGUUUUUUUGUUCCUGCAGGUUUUGGUUUUAAAAACUGCAGUUUCUGUUUUGAAUACUUUCAGGUUUUGGUUUUUAAACUGUAGGAUUUGAUUUUAAAAACUGCAGGUUCUGUUUAGUGUUCUUGCAGGUUUUUGUUUUGAAAACUGCAGUUUCUAUUUUGAAUACUUUCAUGCUUUGGUUUUUAAAACUGCAGGUUCUUCUUACAAAUUGGACGUUUUGCUGCCACCGAGAUUCAGAUUUGAGGGAAGUUUUGCAGUUGGUGCUAGUUCCCAAACUCUUCUCGCAAAAGGGCAUAGCGUGAGAAUGUGGAGUAUGGAUUAUUCAGCUUCACAGAUUCUUUCUCAUUCUUUUAUGCCAUGUUUGUUUAAACUUUUAUUGAAUGCAAUAUUUUUAAGUUUUUAAAA